rnacentral:rRNA from 1 species
UUAUAAUUAAAAGUUAAUUAAAAAGAGAUUAAAUGAAUUCAUUAAAUUUAAAUUAUUUGGCGGUAUUUUAAAUAGUUAGAGGAAUUUGUUAAUUAAAUGAUAGCCCACGAGUGGAAUGUCCUAGUAAAAUUUUUAUGUAUUGUUGUAUAAAAAUUAUUUUAUAAGAAUUAUAAUUAAUAAAUUUGUUAUAAUUUGAAUUCAAAUCAAAAUGUAGAAUUAUUAGGUUUAAAUGAAUUACAAUUUAAUUUAAUAUUAGAGUUAUUUUUUUAAUAAAAAUAAUGAAAACGGAUUUAAAAGUAAAUUUAAAGAAAUAUUUAAAUUGAAAUAGUAAUUAAAAUAUG